CCAAUAGCGUAUAUUAAAGUUGUUGCAGUUAAAAAGCUCGUAGUUGAAUUUCGGGAUCAAUAUGUCGGUCGUGCCUUCGGUACGUACUGGUAUCAUUGGUCUCUCCUUUCUGACGAACCAUGAUGUCAUUAAUUUGGUGUUAUGGGGAGUUAGGACUGUUACUUUGAGAAAAUUAGAGUGUUUAAAGCAGGCUUUAGCUUGAAUACAUUAGCAUGGAAUAAUGAAAUAGGACGUUCGAACCUAUUUUGUUGGUUUCUAGGAUCAACGUAAUGAUUAAUAGGGAUAGUUGGGGGCAUUAGUAUUCAAUUGUCAGGGGUGAAAUUCUUGGAUUUAUUGAAGACUAACUACUGCGAAAGCAUUUGCCAAGGAUGUUUUCAUUAAUCAAGAACGAAAGUUAGGGGAUCGAAGACGAUCAGAUACCGUCGUAGUCUUAACCAUAAACUAUGCCGACUAGGGAUCGGAUGAUGUUAAUUUUUUAAUGACUCAUUCGGCGCCUUACG
rnacentral:rRNA from 1 species